GGCAGUGUGGCAUAGUGGUUUGAGUGUUGGACUAUGACUCUGGAAACCAGGGUUCAAGUCCCACUUCAGCCA